GACGAACGCUGGCGGCGUGCUUAACACAUGCAAGUCGAACGGAAAGGCCCUGCGUUUUUGGGGUGCUCGAGUGGCGAACGGGGGAGUAACACGUGAGUAACCUGCCCUUGACUUUGGGAUAACUUCAGGAAACUGGGGCUAAUACCGGAUAGGAGCUGCUGCUGCAUGGUGGGGGGUGGAAAUUUUCGGCGGUAGGGGAUGGACUCGCGGCUUAUCAGCUUGUUGGUUGGGUAGUGGCUUACCAAGGCUUUGACGGGUAGCCGGCCGGAGAGGGUGACCGGCCACAUUGGGACUGAGAUACGGCCCAGACUCCUACGGGAGGCAGCAGUGGGAAAUCUUGCCCAAUGGGAGGAAGCCUGAUGAAGAGACGCCGCGUGCGGGAUGCCGGCCUUCGGGUUGUAAACCGCUUUCGCCUGUGACGACGCGUGAGUGACGGUAAUGAGUAAAGAAGCACCGGCUAACUACGUG
rnacentral:rRNA from 1 species